rnacentral:rRNA from 1 species
UACGUAGGUGGCAAGCGUUGUCCGGAUUUAUUGGGUUUAAAGGGUGCGUAGGCGGCCCCGUAAGUCAGUGCUGAAAUAUCCCGGCUUAACCGGGAGGGUGGCAUUGAUACUGCGAGGCUUGAGUAAAGUUGAGGUAGGCGGAAUUGACGGUGUAGCGGUGAAAUGCUUAGAUAUCGUCAAGAACACCGAUAGUGUAGACAGCUUACUAAGCUUUAACUGACGCUGAGGCACGAAAGUGUGGGGAUC